UACGAGAGGCGCAAACGUUAUUCGGAAUUACUGGGCUUAAAGAGUUCGUAGGCGGCGCAGAAAGUAGGGUGUGAAAGCCCUCGGCUUAACCGAGGAAUUGCGCUCUAAACUACUGUGCUUGAGGAACCUAGAGGUGAGCAGAACUGAUGGUGGAGCGGUGAAAUGCGUUGAUAUCAUCAGGAAUACCGGAGGCGAAGGCGGCUCACUGGGGGUUUUCUGACGCUGAGGAACGAAAGCCAGGGGAGCGAACGGG
rnacentral:rRNA from 1 species